UGGCUUCUCCUUUCCAUCCGUAACGAGUGGAAACUCAACAUUAGAUGAUGUGUAUUUUUUUGAAGCUCUUACCUCCUUUGUGACUCCAGAGGAAGUAUGGGUUGCCUUUGCUUUAGCAGGACUGUUCUUAAGUUGCUGUGGGAAGUCAACAGCAGCCAGCAAUUUCCUCUGCGAUAGCAUUUCAGAGCGGCAGUAAACUGCUUCUUCAGCUAGUUCCUGCCUUUUUUCUCUCCUAUUUUUUAGAUUAGAAAGCCAAUGUUCAGUGAAUAAUUCGUGAACUCGCUCUAGCGAAACAGUUGCUGAUCGCCGAGAUGUUCCAUGAUUUUCGGGAAAGUCUGAAAUACAAGCUAAAAACGGUAAACUUGGAAGAUAUUUUUUGAUUCCUUUCUCCAUUAAAAUCGUAGCUCAAAUAGGAUCAAAAGCUCUCAUUAAAUUAUAGUGGUUAGGAGUAAGUUAAGAAGUUUGAUGAGUAUGUGUAACAUUAGAUAGUAAGGAUA